rnacentral:rRNA from 1 species
GACGAACGCUGGCGGCGUGCCUAAUACAUGCAAGUCGAGCGCAGGAAGCUGACGGAACUCUUCGGAGGGAAGGCAGUGGAAUGAGCGGCGGACGGGUGAGUAACACGUAAGGAACCUGCCUCAAGGAUUGGGAUAACUCCGAGAAAUCGGAGCUAAUACCGGAUAGUUCAUCGGACCGCAUGGUCCGUUGAUGAAAGGCGCUCCGGCGUCACCUUGAGAUGGCCUUGCGGUGCAUUAGCUAGUUGGUGGGGUAACGGCCCACCAAGGCGACGAUGCAUAGCCGACCUGAGAGGGUAAUAGGCCACACUGGGACUGAGACACGGCCCAGACUCCUACGGGAGGCAGCAGUAGGGAAUCUUCCACAAUGGACGAAAGUCUGAUGGAGCAACGCCGCGUGAGUGAUGAAGGUUUUCGGAUCGUAAAACUCUGUUGUAAGGGAAGAACACGUACGAGAGGAAAUGCUCGUACCUUGACGGUACCUUACGAGAAAGCCACGGCUAACUACGUGCCAGCAGCCGCCGUAA